GUGGGGAAUCUUGCGCAAUGGGCGAAAGCCUGACGCAGCCAUGCCGCGUGAAUGAUGAAGGUCUUAGGAUUGUAAAAUUCUUUCACCGGGGACGAUAAUGACGGUACCCGGAGAAGAAGCUCCGGCUAACUUCGUGCCAGCAGCCGCGGUAAUACGAAGGGGGCUAGCGUUGCUCGGAAUUACUGGGCGUAAAGGGCGCGUAGGCGGACAGCUUAGUCAGAGGUGAAAGCCCAGGGCUCAACCUUGGAAUUGCCUUUGAUACUGGCUGUCUUGAGUACGGGAGAGGUGAGUGGAACUCCGAGUGUAGAGGUGAAAUUCGUAGAUAUUCGGAAGAACACCAGUGGCGAAGGCGACUCACUGGCCCGUUACUGACGCUGAGGCGCGAAAGCGUGGGGAGCAAACAGGAUUAGAUACCCCGGUAGUCC
rnacentral:rRNA from 1 species